UCUGUCGCUGACUCCUUUCGCAGAGACAGGAAUGUGAAGACAGAGAUUUUAAAAAGAAACACCCAGGGAAAACAAGCCAUAAAACACAUUUACAGGUGUAUUAGCAGGUUGUUACACAGCAGGACGUCACAUCCACAGACGUUAACACAGGAACAGUGAAUUUGGCUGUUAACCCUUUGUGAUACAGCUCCGUCUCAGCAGAUGCCAGUCUGUACUAUCUGCCUAUCAGAUUGCCGUGCUCCUCCCCUACAUUUAGCUUAAUCAUUAUGACAUAGUUAGGGCCUAUCGCUGUCUUCUUUACAUCAAACGAGAUUUUCUGCUACAAUCCUGCUCUGCAGUUUUGCUCUGCUGUGCUGUCUGUGUGGCAGCUCUGUGGUGACAGCAGGGGUUCGAUUAGAUUAGAUGAAACAUUAAUGAUCCCUACGAGGAAUCAGGCCAUUGCAGCACGCAGACACCGACAGUAUACAUCAGAGAGAGGGAAGUGAAACACAAAGACUGCGCAGAGGAUGUAUGCUAACAUGACUACUUAAAUUAUUAUUACUUAAACGGAUGACAGUGUACAUGAAGAGCAUUAGAAGGACUUUAUUAGAUGCCAUUGCAUAAUGAAAAUUUGCUCAUUUUCACAUUAACACACAUAUUUUCCCCUUUCAUGUCAGCCAAACUAAUGACUCCACUUUGUGCAUGUCAUCAUAGGCGUAGUAAUGUUCACUGAAGCUGUGUGUUUGUUCUCAAGGGUUAAAUAGCUUCAACAUUCCCAUACAAGAAAAUAUUACACAAGUAACCUUUGGAGGAAUUAAAAAUGAGGGAAAAGGAAUAAAAAAAAAACAGUAUGGGUCUUACUUACACAAAUGCUUUUAUAUAACUUGUCAAGAGGUAUAAAGCAUAUAAACCAUAGCUUCAUUACUCUUCAUAAACAUUGCCAUAUGUCAUUAUGAAUGUUUAUUAUCACUCAUUAAGGUUGUGUUAAAGUUGUUUUAAAGAUGCAUUCAUAUGAUUUGGUUCUUUUUUCUAGGAUAUAUCCAAGUAAGGCGCAUCCUCUUAUCUCAUAAUUCUUUGCAUGCAAAUAAAAUCAAGAUAGUGGACUCUCGAACUGAUGAAUAAUGGAAGUUGGUUUUAACUCAAUAAAGAGUUGUACAAAUGUAAAGAAAGACAGGUUGACAUUGGCUAUCUAGUUGCUAGCUUGCUGUCUUGUUAGCCAGGAGGCUAGCUGUUGCUAAGGGACAAGAGAGACACUAUUGCUGCAUUCGAGUUACCUCGGAGGUCAGAAAUCUGAGCUGAAAAUGACGUCACACCCACGUUACCAGCGUUUCAGUUACCAAGUCGGUAAAAAGCAAAAUCGGAGGUCUGAAACAAGAUGGCUACAUCUAUGAAAGUUAGUUUGGCUGGGUCCUCUGAAGGCUGCAGCUAGAGAGUCAACAGCUAUGCUAAUGAUUCUGUGGGGCUGUGCUUGGAACCAUAGGGUGCUAGCUAAGUGUUAACAUGAUGCUAAUAUGGCAACAAAAAGGCUGACUCAAACUCAUACUUUACAGUCAACUGUUAGCAUAUUGACAUUUGCUGUCCAGCCGCCAUUGCUACUGACUAUGUUAGUUUUGCAGGUCGUUUUUCAGGUAGGCCAAUGAAGUAGGUAAUCAGUUGAUAUAAAGGGCUAAAUGACUUUAAAAGCUUAUUCAAAAUUAACAUGGGGCUCCAGGAUGCGAUUUUUUUUCUUCAUAGGAUGGUGGGGGAAGGUCCCGCCUCCUUCGCUUCUGAUUGGUUAGAGACGCUGGAAACGUCAUCACACGCUCAAGCUGAGCGCGGGCUGUCGGCUCUGUAAACCAACUAGGACAUUGCAGAACAUUAUAGCGAUUCUGAAUCUCCUAACCCUAACCCUAACCCUAACCCUAACCCGA